GACGAACGCUGGCGGCGUGCCUAACACAUGCAAGUCGAACGGAGCUUUGGAAGCUUGCUUCCAAAGCUUAGUGGCGGACGGGUGAGUAACGCGUGAGUAACCUGCCUUUCAGAGGGGGAUAACAUCCUGAAAAGGAUGCUAAUACCGCAUGAUAUCCAAGCAUCGCAUGGUGAGUGGAUCAAAGGAGCAAUCCGCUGAAAGAUGGACUCGCGUCCGAUUAGCCAGUUGGCGGGGUAGAGGCCCACCAAAGCGACGAUCGGUAGCCGGACUGAGAGGUUGAACGGCCACAUUGGGACUGAGACACGGCCCAG
rnacentral:rRNA from 1 species